ensembl:snoRNA
UAGGCCCUGAAUCAAGACCAGUGGUUUGCUGUAGCUGUUGGUUUCAAACAGGAGCCAAGAGUGAUGUUUUCCUUAUGGUCUGUUGGCUGUUUAGUGCCCCAGUGGGAAUGGCCUAUUCAGUUGGAAGAAACAAUC